UGAUACGCGAGGAACCGUUACCUGGGCGUCGAACGUAAGAUGACUGUAGGUGAAAGACUUACUAUCUCUUCGGAGCACUUUACGAGGUGCUGCAUGGUUGUCGUCAGCUCGUGCCGUGAGGUGUCGGGUUAAGUCCCAUAACGAGCGCAACCCUACCCUUUAGUUGCCAUCAGGUAAUGCUGGGGACUCUAAAGGAACUGCCUACGCAAGUAGUGAGGAAGGCGGGGAGUGACGUCAAAUCAGCACGGCCCUUACGUCCAGGGCUACACACGUGCUACAAUGGCCGAUACAGAGGGCAGCUACCUGGUGACAGGAUGCAAAUCUCCAAAGUCGGUCUCAGUUCGGAUCGGAGUCUGCAACCCGACUCCGUGAAGUUGGAUUCGCUAGUAAUCGCGCAUCAGCCAUGGCGCGGUGAAUACGUUCCCGGGCCUU
rnacentral:rRNA from 1 species